rnacentral:rRNA from 1 species
UAGGGAAUCUUCGGCAAUGGACGAAAGUCUGACCGAGCAACGCCGCGUGAGUGAAGAAGGCUUUCGGAUCGUAAAACUCUGUUGUUAGAGAAGAACAAGGACGUUAGUAACUGAACGUCCCCUGACGGUAUCUAACCAGAAAGCCACGGCUAACUACGUGCCAGCAGCCGCGGUAAUACGUAGGUGGCAAGCGUUGUCCGGAUUUAUUGGGCGUAAAGCGAGCGCAGGCGGUUUCUUAAGUCUGAUGUGAAAGCCCCCGGCUCAACCGGGGAGGGUCAUUGGAAACUGGGAGACUUGAGUGCAGAAGAGGAGGGUGGAAUUCCAUGUGUAGCGGUGAAAUGCGUAGAUAUAUGGGGGAACACCAGUGGCGAAGGCGGCUCUCUGGUCUGUAACUGACGCUGAGGCUCGAAAGCGUGGGGAGCAAACAGG